rnacentral:rRNA from 1 species
GAUGAACGCUGGCGGCGUGCCUAAUACAUGCAAGUCGAGCGAACAGAUGAGGAGCUUGCUCCUCUGACGUUAGCGGCGGACGGGUGAGUAACACGUGGAUAACCUACCUAUAAGACUGGGAUAACUUCGGGAAACCGGAGCUAAUACCGGAUAAUAUAUUGAACCGCAUGGUUCAAUAGUGAAAGACGGUUUUGCUGUCACUUAUAGAUGGAUCCGCGCCGCAUUAGCUAGUUGGUAAGGUAACGGCUUACCAAGGCAACGAUGCGUAGCCGACCUGAGAGGGUGAUCGGCCACACUGGAACUGAGACGCGGUCCAGACUCCGACGGGAGGCAGCAGUAGGGACUCUUCCGCAAUGGGCGAAAGCCUGACGGAGCAACGCCGCGUGAGUGAUGAAGGUCUUCGGAUCGUAAAACGCUGUUAUUAGGGAAGAACAAAUGUGUAAGUAACUAUGCACGUCUGGACGGUACCUAAUCAGAAAGCCACGGCUAACUACGU